rnacentral:rRNA from 1 species
UGGGGAAUAUUGGACAAUGGGCGCAAGCCUGAUCCAGCCAUGCCGCGUGGAUGAUGAAGGCCUUAGGGUUGUAAAGUCCUUUUCGGCGGGGAAGAUAAUGACGGUACCCGCAGAAGAAGCCCCGGCUAACUUCGUGCCAGCAGCCGCGGUAAUACGAAGGGGGCUAGCGUUGCUCGGAAUCACUGGGCGUAAAGCGCACGUAGGCGGCUUUUUAAGUCAGGGGUGAAAUCCUGGAGCUCAACUCCAGAACUGCCUUUGAUACUGAGAAGCUUGAGUCCGGGAGAGGUGAGUGGAACUGCGAGUGUAGAGGUGAAAUUCGUAGAUAUUCGCAAGAACACCAGUGGCGAAGGCGGCUCACUGGCCCGGUACUGACGCUGAGGUGCGAAAGCGUGGGGAGCAAACAGGAUUAGAUACCCCCGUAGUCCCUGAGCGGGCUGGCAAGGCGCAU